GACGAACGCUGGCGGCGUGCUUAACACAUGCAAGUCGAACGGAAAGGCCCUGCUUUUGUGGGGUGCUCGAGUGGCGAACGGGUGAGUAACACGUGAGUAACCUGCCCUUGACUUUGGGAUAACUUCAGGAAACUGGGGCUAAUACCGGAUAGGAGCUCCUGCUGCAUGGUGGGGGUUGGAAAGUUUCGGCGGUUGGAGAUGGACUCGCGGCUUAUCAGCUUGUUGGUGGGGUAGUGGCUUACCAAGGCUUUUACGGGUAGCCGGCCUGAGAGGGUGACCGGCCACAUUGGGACUGAGAUACGGCCCAGACUCCUACGGGAGGCAGCAGUGGGGAAUAUUGCACAAUGGGCGGAAGCCUGAUGCAGCAACGCCGCGUGCGGGAUGACGGCCUUCGGGUUGUAAACCGCUUUCGCCUGUGACGAAGCGUGAGUGACGGUAAUGGGUAAAGAAGCACCGGCUAACUACGUG
rnacentral:rRNA from 1 species